rfam:Sus scrofa breed Duroc isolate TJ Tabasco Contig1914_1, whole genome shotgun sequence.
AAGAAAAGGUGGAUGUUCCUGCUAUGUUUGCAGGAUUUAUGGUUGAUCAUAGAGGAAGAUCCACAUUUUCAG